UGGAAAUUGGUUAAGUAUGAAUGUUUAUUUGAUGUGGUCGCGAAACGAAAGUAGACAUUUGCGAACGAAGUUGCCUCUCCAUAUUAAACAUAUCAUUUGUGUAUAUGAAUGUUAUGCUUAUUACCACAAAUGAAAUUAGAAACAUGUAGAAUUCUUUUAAGCCUAAAAUUUUUGAGGUUAUCAUGAAUAUCUAAACGAUAUUUUUUCAUGAUAUGUUCUGCAAAUUUCGGUUUAUCCCAAAGACUGCCAGUAGAAUGUGAAGUAGUUCUAAGAGUACCGUAAUGGUGUUAUAAUUUUUGUAUUGCUUCUUGCAGUGUAAACAUGAAAACAAAAACUUGUUCUGCUGAUGGGUGCUCGUCAUCCAGCAAGCAAGGCAUCAGAUUCUUCAGCUUUCCAAGGGAUCCAGCAUGGGCUGAAGAAUGGGCAGGAAAAGUUGGACUAUCCUGCACUAUCGAUUUUGCUAGAAGGCUGAACAAUAAAUAUUUGUGCAGCAAAUAUUUCCUAGACAGUGAUUUUACUACAGCUGAAUGGGUACACCUGGACAGAGUGGCAGUUCCAUGUGACUCAGAUUCUGCUUCACAGUCACACCCACAGUCUCCUGUCCCUUCAUUACAUACACUUGCCUUCGAUCCUUUGCCUUCAGUUAUAAUUCCCACCCCUUACAGCAAGACAAUGGUGCACUCCACUGUAACAUCUAUUCCUAUACAUGCAGACUGUCUUUCCACUUCCUCUCAGACGUCUGCAGUCCAACCACCACCACCAACAACAGCCAACACCUUUGCAGCGAAAGAAACAUCUCUUCCCCUAAGCUCUGUAAAUACCAAUGCUUCUGAUGGAGAACUCGGGCAUAUCAAUUGUCAAAGUUCUUCCUCAAAGCCUAGAGCAAAGCAGUCUCUGCUAAAAAACAAAAAAGAACUUAAUUUGGCUUCACUUUCAGAAUUGUCACCAAGAGAAAGGAAAUUAUAUGAACUUAUUCGGAAUAAAGAGAGUGAGCUCUGUAAAAACAAAAAGAAAUAUAAGGGAAAUAAGCUGAAAAAGCUCUGUGAUGUGGACAAUGGUCCACUGAUGCAGAGUCUUUCAUCUUCUUUAAGUUUAGAUGCUACCAGAUUUUUGGCAGCAAUGUUUCGGAACAUUAGACAGAAGCCUAAGGGCAGGAGGUGGAAUCUUGAUGAAAAGGUGUUGGCUCUGUCUCCUUAAAUGUAACCCUAAAUCCUAUAUCCUUCUUCGUUCACUGCUCCCCCUCCCAUCCAGACAAUCCUUGCAGUCUGUCCUGAAUACUAUUCCAUUUAGGACAGGCAUCAAUGCUGAUGUGUUUCAUGCACUCCAACAGUCUCUGCAGAAAAUGUGUGGUAGAAAUCGCUACUGUUGUCUUAUGUUUGACGAAAUAUCAGUCAGGGAGAACUUGCAUUUCAACCAUAAAUUUGACUGCAUUGACAUUUUAAGGAUUUUGGAAGCCAGGGCAGGACAUGCAGUAUUGCAAAUCAUGCUCUAGUUUUCGUGAUCCGUGGCCUACACGGAAAGUGGAAGCAACCAGCAGCUUACUACUUUACUCAUGGAAGCACUAAGGCAGAGAUGACUGUACAGUACUUGAAGGAGGUUCUUGACGCCUGUCAGAAUGCUGGACUGAAGGAUGUUGCCACUGUGUGUGACAUGGGGGCCAACAGUGUCAAGGCCUUGAAACUGCUGGGUGCUCCCAAAAGGAAACCACUCUUCAGAUUUCAUAGUCAAGAAAUUGCAACAGUAUAUGAUCCUCCCCACCUCCUGAAGUGCACCUGAAAUGUAUUCCGGAAGUAUAAUAUGCGGUUGAAGUCUGAGCAUCUGGGCAACCAACUUCCUGUUAUUGCUAAGUGGGACCACAUAUUGAAACUAUGAACUCGACAAACCCAGACUGUUUCGUCAGUUGAUCAAGCCGACAGACACCCACCUGAACCCCAGUGCACAGAGUGUUAUGAAAGUCAUCAUGGCAGCAGGCCUCAAUUCUCUAGUGGCUGCAGAAGUCUUACUUGCAAAUACUCUGAGUUUGACACUCCAAUGAGAAGCAUUUUGCUGCCCUUCAUGUGCAGUCUCCACAUACUCUUGUGAUAACCUCGAACAUCAAGGUCCCAGAUCUUGAAGCACUGAAACAAUUUGCAGAAUAAUGUUAUGAUUCAAUAUUCAAGAUGAACUGUCUUCCUCAAAAUCACUGGUAACCACCAACGCCACAAGACAACACAGACAUCACCAUGUGAGCAAAUGUAUUUGAUAACUGGUGAAAAUAACAGUCUGGGACAUGGUAUUUGAACGAUUUUUAAAAUAAACAAAACACCAUAAUGAAGUUACGAAGUCUCUUGGUUCUUCCAUUUUGAUGAACAUUACUAUGAUUCACCCUGAAACAAAGAAAAAAUAUGCAGACAUAUAUAACUUACAUCUUAUUAAAUAUUCAGUUGGACUUUAAAUAAUGAACAUGUUGUAAUGAGAAACAGAGAUAUGUAUUUGUAUGGUUUGAGGUUUUCAUGACAAUGAAGAUUCAUUCUGUGAUAUCUGUGUUACAACACCACAUUGUAAUCUGGAAGGUUGGUCCCAGUGUUUCAGCGAAACAUGCUGCUUCCAUCCUCAGGAUUCAAUAUUCAAGAUGAACUGUCUUCCUCCAAAUCACUGGUAACCACCAACGCCACAAGACAACACAGACAUCACCAUGUGAGCAAAUGUAUUUGAUAACUGGUGAAAAUAUCAGUCUGGGACAUUGUAAUUGAACGAUUUUUAAAAUAAACAAAACGCCAUAAUGAUUAAAUAUAUUACAGAAAAAUAUGAAGUUGAUGUAGUGAAUAUUGUGUGUGUGUGAAGGCAAACUUCACCUUUUUAGAAAGUUAAUAGAAUUUUCCGUCCAGUGCGGUAAUAGAGGUCACAUCACUUUUAUUAAUCUUGCCUUACAUGUUUUGGUUUAAAUAAAACCAUCAUCAGAGGCACUUUUCAUACGGCAGGAGACACUGUUAAUUAAGCUGGUUCACUUUCAGUUGUGUUAUUCACAGAUGUAUGUUUUGUAUUAUUGUCGUAGGUUUUAGUUACGACAGCACUCAUCGUAUAAAAACAUAAACAUGCAGAAUAAUUGAGUAAGCCAAUAGGCUAUACGCAGCACAGGAAUUAUCCUUUUCCCACAAUAGUUUUCUUAUGUUUGGUUAAAAUCACGAUUAAACUAUUUAAAAUUUAAUUCAAAUUGUCGUGAGUCGUUGUUGGUUGUCAAUUCUUCCAGUGGAUGGGAGUCGUCAUUCUUGGUGGUGUGUGGGCUUAUACGCGUUAUGUUGUUAUGUGUGUGUUGUGUCCUUUGUACUGCCAGUAUGUAACAACAUAACGCAUAUAAGCCCACACACCACCAAGAAUGACGACUCCCAUCCACGGGAAGAAUUGACAACCAACGACUCACGACAAUUUGAAUUAAAUUUUAAAUAGUUUAAUCGUGAUUUUAACCAAACAUAAGAAAUCUAUUGUGGGAAAAGGAUAAUUCCUGUGCUGCGUAUAGCCUAUUGGCAUACUCAAUUAUUCUGCAUGUUUAUGUUUUUAUAUGACAACGAGUGCCGUCAUAACUAAAACCUACAACAAUAAUACAAAACAUACAUCUGUGAAUAACACAACUGAAAAUGAACCAGCUUAAUUAACAGUGUCUCCUGCUGUAUGAAAAGUGCCUCUGAUGAUGGUUUUAUUUAAACCGAAACAUAUAAGGUAAGAAUAAUAAAAGUGAUGU